ACAAGUAGCCUAACGUGCAGCUUGUUCUGAGGCAGUUAACAAAUAGACAGGAAUAUAUGAUGUUUACUGUUUGGAAGAGUGGAAGAUGCUCAUCAUCUUAUUAACUUCAGGCAGAUAAACAUCUGCAGAGAUAAACAUCUUUUCUCCAUCCCUAAUAGGCAAAUUUUUCAAGAUCAUUCUUGCUACUACAUGUUCCAGCUGUUUUACAUCUUUACAUUAAAUACUGUGUAAGUAUGUCAUAUUUUCUAACUCAGUAAUUAAUUGUGUUGAAGACUACAGUAAAGUCUUAUAGAUUAUGUUUCAACCAUACAAUAUUGUUCGCUAAUUAUCAGGUUGUCAUUUACUGUAACCCUAGCUAACUCUUAGUGUUUCAGUCUAGACAGUUGUUCCCUGUCUUGCAUUAGUGCAGUUGGUUUAUUUCUGUCUGAUGCUGAAAACAAUUGUUGCUAUUUCCCUGCAGUGGGAAUAAUAAUUAUUAUUUAAAUAGCAGAACCUCUUUGUGCCCUGCUCUUCACUUCCUAAAGGUAUCAUUUCAGGGAGCCCUCUGAAU
rnacentral:lncRNA from 1 species